UACGUAGGGGGCAAGCGUUGUCCGGAUUUAUUGGGCGUAAAGAGCGUGUAGGCGGCCAGGGAGGUCCGUUGUGAAAACUCGAGGCUCAACCUCGAGACGCCGAUGGAAACCCCCUGGCUAGAGUCCGGAAGAGGAGAAUGGAAUUCCUGGUGUAGCGGUGAAAUGCGCAGAUAUCAGGAGGAACACCGGUGGCGAAGGCGGCUCUCUGGACGGUGACUGACGCUGAGACGCGAAAGCGUGGGGAGCAAACAGG
rnacentral:rRNA from 1 species